rnacentral:pre_miRNA from 1 species
GGGAGGAAGCCGGAUCCUGGGCUGUGUCCCCGGCACCCUGUGCUCCUGGGCCUGCGCUGUUGGAUUCGCGCUCCAGCCGCGCAGCCCCCU